rnacentral:rRNA from 1 species
UGAGGGAUAUUGGUCAAUGGGCGCAAGCCUGAACCAGCGACGCCGCGUGGGUGAAGAAGGUCUUCGGAUCGUAAAGCCCUUUUCCCACUGAAGAGGAAGGACGGUAGGUGGGGAAGAAGUCUCGGCUAACUACGUGCCAGCAGCCGCGGUAAAACGUAGGAGACAAGCGUUAUCCGGAGUUACUGGGCGUAAAGGGCGUGCAGGUGGCGUCUUAAGUCUGUUGUGAAAGCGCCUGGCUUAACCGGGCGAGGCCAAUGGAGACUGAGAGGCUGGAGGACGGCGGAGGGGUGUGGAAUUCCGGGUGUAGUGGGGAAAUGCGUAGAGAUCCGGAGGAACACCAGAGGCGAAGGCGGCACUCCAAGCCGUACCUGACACUGAGACGCGACAGCACGGGGAGCAAACG